GCCCGGGUGGCGAAAUGCAGACGCGAGGGGCUUAAACCCCCUUGGGCCCUUUAGGGCCCGUGUGGGUUCGAAUCCCACCCCGGGCA
rnacentral:tRNA from 1 species